rnacentral:rRNA from 1 species
UCAAGUGAAUAAGUGCAUGUGGUGGAUGCCUUGGCGAUUACAGGCGAUGAAGGACGUUGUAGCCUGCGAUAAGCCGCGGGGAGCUGGCAAACAAGCUUUGAUCCGCGGAUGUCCGAAUGGGGAAACCCACCCGCAAGGGUAUCGCUGACUGAAUCCAUAGGUCAGCGAGGCGAACGUGGCGAACUGAAACAUCUAAGUAGCCACAGGAAAAGAAAUCAACCGAGAUUCCGAAAGUAGUGGCGAGCGAAAUCGGAGCAGCCUGUGCGUGAUAGUCGAUUGGCUAGUGGAACGGUAUGGAAAGGCCGGCCAUAGAGGGUGAUAGCCCCUUACACGAAAGCGAAUCGGUGGUACUGAGCGUACGACAAGUAGGGCGGGACACGUGUAAUCCUGUCUGAAGAUGGGGGGACCAUCCUCCAAGGCUAAAUACUCGUAAUCGACCGAUAGUGAACAAGUACUGUGAAGGAAAGGCGAAAAGAACCCCGGGAGGGGAGUGAAAUAGAUCCUGAAACCGCAUGCAUACAAACAGUCGGAGCCUCGCAAGGGGUGACGGCGUACCUUUUGUAUAAUGGGUCAGCGACUUACGUUCAGUGGCAAGCUUAACCAGAUAGGGGAGGCGCAGGGAAACCGAGUCCGAAUAGGGCGCCAUAGUCGCUGGGCGUAGACCCGAAACCAGGUGAUCUAUCCAUGGUCAGGAUGAAGGUUGGGUAACACCAGCUGGAGGUCCGAACCGACUAAUGUUGCAAAAUUAGCGGAUGAACUGUGGAUAGGGGUGAAAGGCUAAUCAAACCUGGAAAUAGCUGGUUCUCCCCGAAAACUAUUUAGGUAGUGCGUCAUGUAUUGCUCCAGGGGGUAGAGCACUGUAAUGGUUGUGGGGGCCAUCGCGGCUUACCACGCCAUAGCAAACUCCGAAUACCUGGAAGUAUGAGCAUGGCAGACAGUCGCCGGGUGCUAACGUCCGGCGGCAAGAGGGAAACAACCCAGACCUACAGCUAAGGUCCCAAAGUGUGGCUAAGUGGGAAACGAAGUGGGAAGGCUAAAACAGUCAGGAUGUUGGCUUAGAAGCAGCCAUCAUUUAAAGAAAGCGUAAUAGCUCACUGAUCGAGUCGUCCUGCGCGGAAGAUGUAACGGGGCUAAGCCAUGCACCGAAGCUUAGGCUGCACUCUUUGAGUGCGGGGUAGGGGAGCGUUCUGUAAGCCUGUGAAGGUGUCUCGUAAGGGAUGCUGGAGGUAUCAGAAGUGCGAAUGCUGACAUGAGUAGCGUUAAAGCGGGUGAAAAGCCCGCUCGCCGUAAGCGCAAGGUUUCCUACGCAACGUUCAUCGGCGUAGGGUGAGUCGGCCCCUAAGGUGAGGGCGAAAGCCAUAGCUGAUGGGAAGCUGGUUAAUAUUCCAGCACCGAUUUCUAGUGCGAUGGGGGGACGGAUCGUGGAAGGUUGUCCGGGUGUUGGAAGUCCCGGUUCCUGACCUGUAGGUGUCUGGUAGGUAAAUCCGCCAGGCGUAUGCCGAGGGGUUGGGACGAGCGAGCUUGCUCGCGAAGCAACUGGAAGUGGUUCCAAGAAAAGCCUCUAAGCUUCAGCUAGAAAAGACCGUACCGCAAACCAACACUGGUGCGCGAGAUGAGUAUUCUCAGGCGCUUGAGAGAACUCGGGAGAAGGAACUCGGCAAAUUGACACCGUAACUUCGGAAGAAGGUGUGCCUUGGUAGCUUGAGUGUGAACAACACAAGGGCAAAGAGGUUGCAAAGAAUAGGUGGCUGCGACUGUUUAUUAAAAACACAGCACUCUGCAAACACGAAAGUGGACGUAUAGGGUGUGACGCCUGCCCGGUGCCGGAAGGUUAAGUGAUGGGGUGCAAGCUCUUGAUCGAAGCCCCGGUAAACGGCGGCCGUAACUAUAACGGUCCUAAGGUAGCGAAAUUCCUUGUCGGGU